GACGAACGCUGGCGGCGUGCUUAACACAUGCAAGUCGAACGGCAAGGCCCUGCUUUUGUGGGGUGCUCGAGUGGCGAACGGGUGAGUAACACGUGAGUAACCUGCCCUUGACUUUGGUAUAACUUCAGGAAACUGGGGCUACUACCGGAUAGCAGCUCCUGCUGCAUGGUGGGGGUUGGAACGUUUCGGCUGUUGGGGAUGGACUCGCGGCUUAUCAGCUUGUUGGUGGGGUAGUGGCUUACCAAGGCUUUGACGGGUAGCCGGCCUGAGAGGGUGACCGGCCACAUUGGGACUGAGAUACGGCCCAGACGCCUACGGGAGGCAGCAGUGGGGAAUAUUGCACAAUGGGCGGAAGCCUGAUGCAGCAACGCCGCGUGCGGGAUGACGGCCUUCGGGUUGUAAACCGCUUUCGCCUGUGACGAAGCGUGAGUGACGGUAAUGGGUAAAGAAGCACCGGCUAACUACGUG
rnacentral:rRNA from 1 species